rnacentral:rRNA from 1 species
UACGAAGGGGCUAGCGUUGCUCGGAAUCACUGGGCGUAAAGGGUGCGUAGGCGGGUCUUUAAGUCAGGGGUGAAAUCCUGGAGCUCAACUCCAGAACUGCCUUUGAUACUGAGGAUCUUGAGUUCGGGAGAGGUGAGUGGAACUGCGAGUGUAGAGGUGAAAUUCGUAGAUAUUCGCAAGAACACCAGUGGCGAAGGCGGCUCACUGGUCCGGUACUGACGCUGAGGUGCGAAAGCGUGGGGAGCAA